GUAGGUGGCAAGCGUUGUCCGGAAUUAUUGGGCGUAAAGCGCGCGCAGGCGGUUCUUUAAGUCUGAUGUGAAAGCCCACGGCUCAACCGUGGAGGGUCAUUGGAAACUGGAGAACUUGAGUACAGAAGAGGAAAGCGGAAUUCCACGUGUAGCGGUGAAAUGCGUAGAGAUGUGGAGGAACACCAGUGGCGAAGGCGGCUUUCUGGUCUGUAACUGACGCUGAGGCGCGAAAGCGUGGGGAGCAAACAGGGAUUAGAUACCCUGGUAGUCCACGCCGUAAACGAUGAGUGCUAAGUGUUAGGGGGUUUCCGCCCCCUUAGUGCUGCAGCUAACGCACUAAGCACUCCGCCUGGGGAGUACGGCCGCAAGGCUG
rnacentral:rRNA from 1 species